AACGAACGCUGGCGGCAGGCCUAACACAUGCAAGUCGAGCGCGCCCUUCGGGGUGAGCGGCGGACGGGUGAGUAACGCGUGGGAACGUGCCUUUCUCUGCGGAAUAGCCUCGGGAAACUGAGAGUAAUACCGCAUACGCCCUUUGGGGGAAAGAUUUAUCGGAGAAGGAUCGGCCCGCGUUGGAUUAGGUAGUUGGUGGGGUAAUGGCCCACCAAGCCGACGAUCCAUAGCUGGUUUGAGAGGAUGAUCAGCCACACUGGGACUGAGACACGGCCCAGACUCCUACGGGAGGCAGCAGUGGGGAAUCUUAGACAAUGGGGGCAACCCUGAUCUAGCCAUGCCGCGUGAGUGAUGAAGGCCUUAGGGUUGUAAAGCUCUUUCAGCUGGGAAGAUAAUGACGGUACCAGCAGAAGAAGCCCCGGCUAACUCCGUG
rnacentral:rRNA from 1 species